rnacentral:rRNA from 1 species
CUUGUGAAUUGCAGAAUUCCGUGAAUCAUCGAAUCUUUGAACGCACAUUGCGCCUGAGGCUUGUCCAAGGGCAUGUCUGCCUGAGCGUCU